GCCUGGGUAGCUCAGUCAGUUAAAGCGUCUGACUUUGGCUCAGGUCAUGAUCUCACAGUUUGUGAGUUCAAGACUCAUGUCAGACU
rnacentral:tRNA from 1 species